UACGUAGGAGGCGAGCGUUGUCCGGAGUUACUGGGCGUAAAGGGCGCGCAGGCGGCCUGUCAGGUGUCUGGUGAAAGCUCCCGGCUUAACUGGGAGAGGUCCAGGCAAACCGUCAGGCUUGAGCGUCGGAGAGGGGCAUGGAAUUCCGGGUGGAGCGGUGAAAUGCGUAGAGAUCCGGAGGAACACCAAUGGCGAAGGCAGUGCCCUGGCCGACGGCUGACGCUCAGGCGCGAAAGCGUGGGGAGCAAACAGG
rnacentral:rRNA from 1 species